AGUCGAGCGGUAGAGAGGAAGCUUGCUUCUCUUGAGAGCGGCGGACGGGUGAGUAAUGCCUAGGAAUCUGCCUAGUGGUGGGGGAUAACGUUCGGAAACGGACGCUAAUACCGCAUACGUCCUACGGGAGAAAGCGGGGGACCUUCGGGCCUCGCGCCAUUAGAUGAGCCUAGGUCGGAUUAGCUAGUUGGUGAGGUAAUGGCUCACCAAGGCGACGAUCCGUAACUGGUCUGAGAGGAUGAUCAGUCACACUGGAACUGAGACACGGUCCAGACUCCUACGGGAGGCAGCAGUGGGGAAUAUUGGACAAUGGGCGAAAGCCUGAUCCAGCCAUGCCGCGUGUGUGAAGAAGGUCUUCGGAUUGUAAAGCACUUUAAGUUGGGAGGAAGGGUAGUAACUUAAUACGUUGCUACUUUGACGUUACCGACAGAAUAAGCACCGGCUAACUUCGUGCCAGCAGCCGCGGUAAUACGAAGGGUGCAAGCGUUAAUCGGAAUUACUGGGCGUAAAGCGCGCGUAGGUGGUUCAGUAAGUUGGAAGUGAAAUCCCCGGGCUCAACCUGGGAACUGCUUUCAAAACUGCUGAGCUAGAGUACGGUAGAGGGUUGGGUGGAAUUUCCUGUGUAGCGGUGAAAUGCGUAGAUUAUAGGAAGGGAACACCAGUGGCG
rnacentral:rRNA from 1 species